rnacentral:rRNA from 1 species
UACGGAGGGUGCAAGCGUUAUCCGGAUUCACUGGGUUUAAAGGGUGCGUAGGUGGAGUGGUAAGUCAGUGGUGAAAUCUCCAAGCUUAACUUGGAAACUGCCGUUGAUACUAUCAUUCUUGAAUAUCGUGGAGGUAAGCGGAAUAUGUCAUGUAGCGGUGAAAUGCUUAGAUGUGACAUAGAACACCGAUUGCGAAGGCAGCUUGCUACACGAUCAUUGACACUGAGGCACGAAAGCGUGGGGAUCAAACAGG